CAUAAACAUAAAGGUUUGGUCCUAGCCUUUCUAUUGACUCUUAGUAGGAUUACACAUGCAAGUAUCCGCACUCCAGUGAAGAUGCCCUUCAAAUCACCAACCGAUAAGAAGGAGCGGGUAUCAAGCACACUACCACAGUAGCUCACGACACCUUGCCUAGCCACACCCCCACGGGAUACAGCAGUGAUAAAAAUUAAGCCAUAAACGAAAGUUUGACUAAGCCAUACUAACCCAGGGUUGGUAAAUUUCGUGCCAGCCACCGCGGCCAUACGAUUAACCCAAGUUAAUAGACACACGGCGUAAAGCGUGUUCAGAAGACCCCCCCCCCCCCAUAAAGUUAAAUCUAAGCUAUGCCGUAGAAAGCUUUAGCUCAGACAAAAAUAAACCACGAAAGUGACCUUAGACACUUCGACACACGAUAGCUGGGACCCAAACUGGGAUUAGAUACCCCACUAUGCCCUGCCCUAAACCUAAGUAGUUAUUUAAACAAUGCUACCCGCCAGAGCACUACUAGCAACAGCUUGAAACUCAAAGGACUUGGCGGUGCUUUAUAUCCCUCUAGAGGAGCCUGUUCUGUAAUCGAUAAACCCCGAUAAACCUCACCAACCCUCGCUAAUACAGCCUAUAUACCGCCAUCUUCAGCAAACCCUAAAAAGGAGCCACAGUAAGCCUAAUCAUUCAACAUAAAAACGUUAGGUCAAGGUGUAGCCCAUGGGUUGGAAAGAAAUGGGCUACAUUUUCUAACAUAGAACACAACGAAAUUUUUCGUGAAACCGAAAACGGAAGGAGGAUUUAGUAGUAAAUUAAGAAUAGAGAGCUUAAUUGAAUAAGGCCAUGAAGCACGCACACACCGCCCGUCACCCUCCUCAAGUACCAAAACACAACCAACUAACUUCAUUGAUAAGUGUAUAUACAUACAAGAGGAGAUAAGUCGUAACAAGGUAAGCGUACUGGAAAGUGCGCUUGGAUAAU
rnacentral:ncRNA from 1 species